GCCUUACAAGUACAAGGCCCUGGGUUCAAUCCCUAGCACCGCAAAAAAAAUAAAUAAGAAAUUUAUCAUUGUGCUUUUUAAUCUGAUGAAUUCCCUUUCAGAAGUUGUAAUCCUCCUUUGUAAGAUCUGCCACUUCUGGACAGACCUGUCACUUCUCCCAUCCCACACUCUUUCAGAUCCUUCUCUAUUCUUACUCCUUCUAUUUAUGCUUCCUUUAUUUAUUUAAUUUUUUUGUACUAAGGAUUAAACCCAGGGGACUUAACCACUGACCCACAUCCCCAGCCCUUUUUAUUUUUUUAUGUAGAGACAGGGUCUCACUAAGUUGCUUAGGGCCUUGGUAAGUUGCUGAGGCUGGCUUCAAACUUGGCGAUCCUCCUACCUUGGCCUCCUGAGCUUCUGGGUUUACAGGUACACGCCUCCACGCCCAGCUUUGCUUCCUUUUUUUAUCUGGGUGCUAUUCUCAGAAGUGCGCACUCAGGGUGAGGCCCUUUCUUGGAAUAUUUGUUGGAGGCUUCUGAGAUCCCUGAAUCCUCAACACUCUUUCUUUUCCUGUGACCCCCUUAGUACCUUUCCAGAGGGCUUUGUGAGUUCUGCCUUUGAUAGCACAUACGAUUUGGAACAUGUUUUUUAUAUCUAGUUUUAUUCUUUCAGUCCUGAUACCAGUAAUUCCCUUUCAGGAUGAAGACACCUUUUGGGAGUGACUAUUUGCUUUGAAUACUAUUUCCAGGACCAUUAGCAUUCCCUUUUCUUUGCCACACCAACCUCCUCAUUUGUGGUUACUGUACCAGCUGAGACUACUUAACCAAGAAGAAACAUUCUGAACUCCAAAUAUCAGAUGACUGACAUAGGAUUUGAUUUUCACAAAGGUGUGCCAGGGACCUUGCACUUUUCUUUCCAGGAUCAUCAUAUGUACGGAAAGUUCAAUUCUGGAUGGAUCAGUUUUCUCUGAGAGUAUUUCAGGUGGUGGAUGACAAGGUGGCUGCCAUGGUAUAAGGAGUUGCUUUCAGGGGUGCUGGGGGCAGCCAAUUUCUCCAAGCAGCUCUACCCUGCUAGUUCAAGAGCAAGAAGCAACAGAAGGCCCGCCUGGAAUUCAUCCUGCACCACCUCAUGCCUCACAUAAACCACCCUACGUCUUCUGCUACCUGGACCAGCUGCUGUCCCUCUCCAUGGUCUGAGCCAACCACCUCUUCCUAGGCUGCAGUUACAAAAAAGACCUAGAUAACAUGAUGGUGAUGACCGAUGGGUUGAAGUAUAAGACCUGCCACAGGUUAAGUGCCACAAGUGAAUUAAUGAAAAAGCACCAAAACUAGAGCAGAAGAUUAUCACAUUUUCAUCAUCUGCUACUGGCUUAGAAAGGGCUGCUGUGAUGAAUUUGACAUUGACCACAGUAGCUUUUAGAGUUCGUAUUACCAACAAAAAGAGGCAGCUGGAAUGAAAAGGAAUCUGUCUAGCUUUUUAAAAGUCUUUGUUCUUUCAGUGGCUAUCACUGUAAAAGUGCACGGACAUUUAUGUAUUUAUAAAUAGUGCACUAUAAGAUAAUUUCAUCAACAUUGUACAAGCCAAACUUUGUUUUAAAAAUGGUUGAUGUAAUAAUGUCAGGUAAUUUUAUUGUUAGAAUUUUUUUCAACAAUGUGCCUUUAAGUAUAUUGCAGGAUAUUUCAAUGCAAUACAAAUAGUAUUUGCUAGAGAACCACAAUAAAUCAAGAUUGUCCUUGAAAACAGUUUUGGAACGUCCAAACAAUCUCAUGAACAUUUUUCAUCCAUUAUUUUGACAAGGACUUGGUAAUUUUCAAUGUUGGUAAAGAUGUCGGCAAACAGACUCUCACAACUUUUGGAAAUUAUAACUGGAAAAACUUUCUUUGGAAAGACUUUGAAAUUAUCAAAAAUACUAAAAUUCUCUGACUCAGCAUUUUUCUAACAGAUUUGCACAUGAAGAGAUUUUUUUUAAAUCAUUUAUUCAUCACUCAAUCCCUGUGCUGUCAUAAGAAUAGAUGCUCAGCUAAUAAGUGGCAGAACUAGGACUUGAAGUUAGUCAAGCUCCAGAUUUUGCAUUUAUAACCACUAAACUGUACUGUAUCAGUGGUGUUCAAUUAAGUGUAAGUACACAAAUAAUAGCUGGGCACAGUGGUGCACACCUGAAUUCCAGCUACUCAGGAGGCUAAGCCAGGAGGAUCAAAAGUUCAAGGCCAUACUGGGCAACUUGGCAAGACCUGUCUCAUAUUUUUAAAAAAAUGGGAAU